rnacentral:rRNA from 1 species
AUUGAACGCUGGCGGCAGGCCUAACACCUGCAAGUCGCACGAGUGGCGGACGGGUGAGUAAUGUCUGGGAAACUGCCUGAUGGAGGGGGAUAACUACUGGAAACGGUAGCUAAUACCGCAUACCAUCAGAUGUGCCCAGAUGGGAUUAGCUAGUGUGUGGGGUAACUGCUCACCAAGGCGACGAUCCCUAGCUGGUCUGAGAGGAUGACCAGCCAAACGGGAACUGAGACACGGUCCAGACUCGUACGGGAGGAAGCAGUGGGGAAUAUUGCACAAUGGGCGCAAGCCUGAUGCAGCCAUGCCGCGUGUAUGAAGAAGGCCUUCGGGUUGUAAAGUACGUUCAGCGGGGAGGCGUUACCCGCAGAAGAAGCACCGGCUAACUCCGUGCCAGCAGCCGCGGUAAUAC